rnacentral:rRNA from 1 species
AGCAGCCGCGGUAAUUCCAGCUCCAAUAGCGUAUAUAAAGUGUGCAGUAAAAGCUCGUAUGAAUUCGGGAUCAGAUUGUCGGUCGUGCCUCGGUACGCACUGGCAUUAUUGGUUCCUACUUCUGAAGAACCGCGAUGUCAUUAAUUUGGUGUCGUGGGGAAUCAGGACUGUUACUUUAAAAAUUAGAGUGUUUAAAGCAGGCGCACGCUUGAAU